rnacentral:misc_RNA from 1 species
GAUGAAGAACGUAGCGAAAUGCGAUAAGUAGUGUGAAUUGCAGAAUUCAGUGAAUCAUCGAAUCUUUGAACGCACAUUGCGCCCUUUGGUAUUCCAAAGGGCAUGCCUGUUCGAGCGUCAUUUAAACCUUCAAGCUAAGCUUGGUGUUGGGUGACUGUCCGCUUCACGGCGGACUCGCCUCAAAAUUAUUGGCGGCCGGUACAUUGGCUUCGAGCGCAGCAGAAACGCGAACUCGGGCCCGUCGUAUUGGCUCCCAGAAGCUAUCUUCACAAUUUUGACCUCGGAUCAGGUAGGGAUACCCGCUGAACUUAAGCAUAUCAAUAAGCGGAGGA